GCUUGUCUCAAAGAUUAAGCCAUGCAUGUCUAAGUAUAAGUAUUAUACAGCGAAACUGCGAAUGGCUCAUUAAAACAGUUAUGGUUUAUUUGAUAAUCGAAUUUUACAUGGAUAACCGUAGUAAUUCUAGAGCUAAUACAUGCGCAAAUACCCAACUGCUUGUCGGACGGGUAGCAUUUAUUAGAUUGAAACCAAUGCAGUCUUCGGGCUGGUAUUGUGUUGAGUCAUAAUAACUGUGCGGAUCGCGUUUUACGCGAUAAAUCGAUUGAGUUUCUGCCCUAUCAGCUUUGGAUGGUAGGAUAUGGGCCUACCAUGGCAUUAACGGGUAACGGGGAAUUAGGGUUUGAUUCCGGAGAGGGAGCCUUAGAAACGGCUACCACAUCCAAGGAAGGCAGCAGG
rnacentral:rRNA from 1 species